rnacentral:rRNA from 1 species
UACGAAGGGGGCUAGCGUUGCUCGGAAUCACUGGGCGUAAAGCGCACGUAGGCGGAUUGUUAAGUCAGGGGUGAAAUCCUGGAGCUCAACUCCAGAACUGCCUUUGAUACUGGCGAUCUUGAGUCCGGGAGAGGUGAGUGGAACUGCGAGUGUAGAGGUGAAAUUCGUAGAUAUUCGCAAGAACACCAGUGGCGAAGGCGGCUCACUGGCCCGGUACUGACGCUGAGGCACGAAAGCUAGGGGAGCAAACAGG